UCGAGAAUCAUUCGCAAUGGGCGCAAGCCUGACGAUGCGACGCCGUGUGAGCGAAGAAGGCCUUAGGGUUGUAAAGCUCUUUCGCCCGGGAACAAGAGAGGCGGGUUAAUACCCCGCCGAUUUGAGUGUACCGGGUAAAGAAGCACCGGCUAACUCCGUGCCAGCAGCUGCGGUAAUACGGAGGGUGCAAGCAUUAAUCGGAUUUAUUGGGCGUAAAGGGCGCGUAGGCGGACAUGCAAGUCGGAUGUGAAAUUCCGGGGCUCAACCUCGGAGCUGCAUUUGAAACUACAUUGUCUAGAGGGUAGGCGGAGAAAACAGAAUUCCACAAGUAGCGGUGAAAUGCGUAGAUAUGUGGAAGAAUACCGGUGGCGAAGGCGGUUUUCUAGCUUAUUCCUGACGCUGAAGCGCGAAAGCAAGGGGAUCAAACA
rnacentral:rRNA from 1 species